AAAGAGUGUCGGGGACGGGAGCGGAGAGACACGGAAAAGGUCAAACUAAAGGCGAGGAGGAGAGGCGGCUGGAGUGGCGGGGGGCCCGGAGCGGGGCUCGAGCCGGCCGCCCCACGGCACUCGGGGCGUCCCCCGGCCAGACGGGCCGGGCCCGGCCCAGCCCCGCUCGCGGGAGGAGCCGGAGCCCCCAUCCCGUCACAGUCAUGCUUCCAGGAAAUCUAUGCUGAGUGACAAAUUCUCAUGUAGCGGAUGGAUUUGAAAAGAGACAACACUCCUGUUUAGUCCUAAUCUGUUCCAUUGCACUAUUUGCAAGGUGCUAUACUCGAGUAUUUAAGGUACCACAACUUCAAGGGCAUCCCGUGUGCUGAAUCACAUUCCUUCCAGCUCCCUCUGGUUGUCAGUGGACAAGCCCAGCUUGACAUUAUUCCAUAUCUUACAUCGACUUCCAUCAGCAACACAACAAAGUACUCCUGCCCAUACUGUCAGCCUGCUAACGUUAGUGGACCAUCCAGAUAUCUAGAAUCAUGCAGGAAAAGUUGUACAGCAGAAUGGUCUAGCGACUCUUAUCACCAUCCAGACUGAGGACAAUAAAUAUGAAUGUAAUGUGAGAAGUCGGUGAUGG
rnacentral:lncRNA from 1 species